rnacentral:rRNA from 1 species
UACGUAGGGUGCAGGCGUCAAUCGGAAUUACUGGGCGUAAAGCGUGCGCAGGCGGUCUUUUAAGUCAGAUGUGAAAUCCCCGGGCUUAACCUGGGAACUGCGUUUGAAACUGGAAGGCUAGAGUGUGGCAGAGGGGGGUGGAAUUCCACGUGUAGCAGUGAAAUGCGUAGAUAUGUGGAGGAACACCGAUGGCGAAGGCAGCCCCCUGGGCUAACACUGACGCUCAUGCACGAAAGCGUGGGGAGCAAACAGG